CUUCCUUAUUAUUUUACUUGUAACAAUUUGUUAAUGUUUUUUACACGCCCAUUGUGGAAACCAGCUUCUGCUGACAAUGUUAGCGUGGUUAAAUAAAGUUUAUCAUCAUCAUCAUCAUCAUCGGACAUACACAAGACUUUUUUCUUGUCCAUCCUGUUGAUACAUUGACUUACUUCUGCAGUUUGAUAUUGCUAUAUAAAGUUUUGAGACUUCAAUAUUUUAAUUAAAAACGUUUUAAAACGAAAUGGCUAUGGAAUCGAUUUUAAAUACAGAUAUAUUGAUACGUGAUAGAGC